AUUGAACGCUGGCGGCAGGCCUAACACAUGCAAGUCGAGCGGAUGAAGGGAGCUUGCUCCUGGAUUCAGCGGCGGACGGGUGAGUAAUGCCUAGGAAUCUGCCUGGUAGUGGGGGAUAACGUCCGGAAACGGGCGCUAAUACCGCAUACGUCCUGAGGGAGAAAGUGGGGGAUCUUCGGACCUCACGCUAUCAGAUGAGCCUAGGUCGGAUUAGCUAGUUGGUGGGGUAAAGGCCUACCAAGGCGACGAUCCGUAACUGGUCUGAGAGGAUGAUCAGUCACACUGGAACUGAGACACGGUCCAGACUCCUACGGGAGGCAGCAGUGGGGAAUAUUGGACAAUGGGAGAAAGCCUGAUCCAGCCAUGCCGCGUGUGUGAAGAAGGUCUCCGGAUUGUAAAGCACUUUAAGUUGGGAGGAAGGGCAGUAAGUUAAUACCUUGCUGUUUUGACGUUACCAACAGAAUAAGCACCGGCUAACUUCGUG
rnacentral:rRNA from 1 species